rnacentral:rRNA from 1 species
GGGCAUCCCGAUGCAGCCAAAGGAGCAAUCCGCUGGAAGAUGGGCUCGCGGCCGAUUAGCUAGUUGGUGGGGCAACGGCCCACCAAGGCGACGAUCGGUAGCCGGACUGAGAGGUUGAUCGGCCACAUUGGGACCGAGACACGGCCCAGACUCCUACGGGAGGCAGCAGUGGGGGAUAUUGCACAAUGGAGGAAACUCUGAUGCAGCGACGCCGCGUGAGGGAAGACGGUCUUCGGAUUGUAAACCUCUGUCUUUGGGGAAGAAAAUGACGGUACCCAAAGAGGAAGCUCCGGCUAACUACGUGCCAGCAGCCGCGGUAAUACGUAGGGAGCGAGCGUUGUCCGGAAUUACUGGGUGUAAAGGGAGCGUAGGCGGGCGAGAAAGUUGAAUGUUAAAUCUACCGGCUUAACUGGUAGCUGCGUUCAAAACUUCUUGUCUUGAGUGAAGUAGAGGCAGGCGGAAUUCCUAGUGUAGCGGUGAAAUGCGUAGAUAUUAGGAGGAACACCAGUGGCGAAGGCGGCCUGCUGGGCUUUAACUGACGCUGAGGCUCGAAAGCGUGGGGAGCAAACAGGAUUAGAUACCCUGGUAGUCCACGCUGUAAACGAUGAUUACUAGGUGUGGGGGGACUGACCCCUUCCGUGCCGCAG